GUUAAUAUUAGAAUUCAUUAUCCAAAUGGAGUCUGCUUGUGUGGUAUAUCCAAUAUAUAAUUCCUUUUUGGAGGAUGGAUGACCAACAGCUUGUUGUAGUUGGAUCAUAU
rnacentral:lncRNA from 1 species